ACAUACAAGAAGCUCUUCGUAGAAAGAGAAAGAUAACAUUAGCAUAUAGAUAAUAGCUUAAAGGUUCCUCCAUCUAUUGUUUCCGGUAAACAACGAAAGAAAAACCGGUCGAGCGUGAUAAAUUGUUGUUACCACGUGUGUAUAUAUACAUGAUAUAGAAUUCGGAGAAUUUGGGAAGUCUUGUAGUGAAAAGUAUGUGUAAAUAAACGAGGGACGAUCGGAGAGAUCGACCUAGGCACGACUUCCCUCCAUUCGUCGUCCUUACAACGCGUUAGUCGCAGUAUUCCUUCCUCUCGGCGGCUGUUUGGACGUGCUUUAUCUAGACAAGGCGUAAUUUUAACAACGCUUGCAGCACAUAUGUCAAGUGAAAGUGAAGAUAUCGAUCAUUGUAAGGAUGAUAUUGAAAGUGAAAGAAGCGAGGUGGAUUGCAGUGAUGUGGUGAAAGCUCUGACAGUGAUAAUGAUAUAGUUAUUCCUUCGAGUAAACGAUAAAUAGUAAUUUCAGGUGAUAUUACAAUGUUUUACAAAAUGUCAUAUUCCAAAAAUACAUUACCUUGUAAGAAUAUGUUAAUGAAUGAUUUCCAGAUGCAAUGGUUUUUUCUUUUUCUUUUUUAAUUUUGGCAUUAAAUUAAAAAAAAAAACUAUCAAAUAUGGGAUAGAAAAAUAUCUACUUUCGUCGAAACUCGUCCUUUUCAUCCUAAAAGUCGCUAUUAAGACCAUUCUGUACAAAGACAAAUUAAUUGAAUCUUAUUUUUUCGAUUUAACUGUUGAGGUAGAUAGUCGCGAAGAAAGUGAUAGAGGAUAAGUUUUUUGAAGAAAUAGAAAUCUGUAACAUCUGUUAUCUACUACUGGUCCAAUGUUUAAUCGUAUAAGUGCGUGGCUAGAAAGUUACAUGGAAUUAUAAAGAAUUUAAGCCUACAUACGAAUCGUCUUAUAAGACAUGUUUUAUAAAACUAUCAUAAUAGUCGAGCUAUUCCUUAUAAUAGGCUAUUAUUGAGCUAAUAACAAAUUAAAUACUCACUUACCUAUAUAGGCAAGUAAUUUUCAACUUAUGUAUUUCUUUAUAAUUGUCUUAUAAGAAUUGAUGGUCAAUUAAGUAUUAUGUAAAUAAAUAUAGGAAUAUUACAUUAUCUUUUUUUUAGAAAUAUAUUA